AGUAAUCAACCUAAACAAACUCAUACGACUCUAUAAGCAUGCAAACGCUCAAUUGAGUUCAAAUGAACAAAUUCACGCUUAACAAUCCCUCAGUUCCAUACAGUCCAUCACAAGUUAGCAGUUAAGUUGAUUUACCACAAAUAAACUACACAAUGAACUCAUCCAAAUGAAAUCCUAAAGUUAAUUGUAAUGCAAGUGACUAAAAAAAACAGUAACAGUUUCAAUGAAGAUCAGGCAACAACUGCAUUUCCAUUUCAUGGAGGAGUUACAUCAAAUCAGUUCCAAGUGUAUACCUAGGUUUGAAUGGACAGAAUAACAAAAGGAGUCAGCAGCAAGUGAUAUCACAAGCAACAACAACAGGCAGAAAUCACCAACUAAUUCAAUCAACAGAGGGAGAGUUUGAACCAACAUGGACUAAGAGAUCAAUCGUACCACUUGAUUACCACUCAAACAAACUCGAAAUUGGACUCAAAACAUUUGAAACCUCAGCAGAGCAAACCUCAACCAAAACCCAACUUAAUUUGACUCAAAAUCACUUGAAGUGAACUUCUAAACUUUAGCAACUCACAGAUUCAACUCGAAAGUAAACAAUUCUUGAAGAAUAAUUAUCAGAACUCACGAUACUCGAUGUAACAAUGUAUUUUGGUAUUUUCUGAAGAGGUUUUGUUGUUUUUUUUGUUUUUCUAUGGAAAACUUAAAACUCAAAAAGAGAAUUUCUAAUUCUAGAUCUCAUUUUGAAUUUGAAACUAAGGAGAGUUUUUUUUGGGGGGGGGGGGGAAUUUUUUAGCUCCCAACCUUGUGUGCCUUGCCCUUUUAUAGGCAAAGAUGAGGGCAGCCCCCCAAUUUUCUGUUUUAAUUUUCAGUCCCUAGUUUAUUUUAGUUAGUCCCUUACUUAUUGACUUUUUACACAAGUAAGCCUACUAACUCCCCUGAAAUUACAACUAAAUGCCUAUUCUAGAAGGUUCUAAUAUUAGCCACAACAUUCUAUUAUUUUAUCAACUACCCAAAACACCCCUGAAAACCCCUGCAAUUACUAACUAUUAAUAAAAUCUAUCAGCUAUAACCAAACAACUAAUCUAAGCCUAAUGACCAAAUGAAUUAACCCAUGACAUUUACUGAUUAAACCCACACCAGACUGAAUUAAAACAAACCAAAAACUAAGUAAUCACAUACUAACAAAAAUAAGGAUCAAACAAUACCUAAACAGAAUCAAUUAACAAAAAACAAUACCAAAUACACGCUCAUGCAAGAUUAAUGAUCAAAUUGACAAGAUGAGGAAAGCAAAUUUCAGAAUACUAUACAUGAAAAAAUCUAAACAGAACUUGAAAAACAUGUAAGCUAAUUAUUAUUUUGUAUUAAAAGAAAAGAUAAUCAGAUAACAGAAAAAUGCCUAUAUUGAAAUCAAAAAACAAUCAAAUCCUAAAUUGAUUAAUCGAGAAGAGAUAUCAAAUAAAAAGAAAAUAUUGGAGAGAAAAACCAGAAAACACUAUCCGAGGAGCCUAGACCGGACACUGGAAACUCGAUUCGAGCCUCGGAAUAAUACAAUCAUUUGUUCUUUGCCAAAACAAAUGAAAAUGUUAUUUCAGAACUCGAAUCCAAUACUGGACGCAAGAGUUUGGCCAAACUUGAACCCAAUUGAAUUUUAGGGUUCAGCUCGUCCUAAGAUUUGAAACUCGAGCAGAUAUAAGGAGAUUCGCGGAAACCUGGUUGGAGAUUAGGGAUGAGCGAGUUGAGGCAGCUUUGGGGUGUUAUUUUGGGGCAUUUUGGUGGUGGCUCCGCCGUGGGCGAUGGUGGCGGUGCCUAGGGUUUGGAGGAUUUGGGGUGUUUGAUUAGGAUUUGGAAGAAAAUAAUGACUGAUAUGGGAUGAGGAGAUGAAGAUGAUGACAUGGUGAAAUAUUGGAGCAUCGUCGUCGGCGAUGGCGGACGAUGGAGGCGAUGAUCUGGACAGUUGGAUGAGAAGGGAUUAACGGUCCAGAUACGAUUUGGCUAAACGGGAUCGUUUGGUGGGUGGGCGGACUGGAUGUGUAAAAAAACUUGGGACUGGGCGGGUAUUUCUUGUUUGGGCUAAGACACAUGAGCCCAAAUCAGAUCUUUUCUUCUUUAUUUUCUCUUUUUCUUUGUCAUUUUUAGUUUCUUUUUUUCUCUUUUUCUUAUUUAGUAUUGUACUUCAAUUUGUAUUUUGUAUUUUUUUGAUUCAUAAAAAAUGCAAAAUUAAAAUAAAAACCAUUUUAUUGUCAACACUAAGCUAACUGAUUUCUAAAAAUUGAUUAAGUCCUAUUUAAAGUAAAUUUAUCACAAAUAUAACAAUUAGAAAUUAAAAUGCAAAACUAGACUAUUUUGUUAUUUUCAUUGUAUUUUGUUCAAAAAAUAACUUAAUCCCUAAUUAAUCCUAAAAUAUUAAAUUAAAUCCUAAAAGCAAAUGCCAAAUGUAUUUUUUAUUUUUUCCCAUAUGAGUUAAAAUGCACGAAUAAAAAUACAAACAAUUCACAGAAAAUAACACAAAAUUCACAAAAUUGCCAAAUGAUGAAAGAAAUUAUUUUGCUUGAAUUUUUGGGAAUAAUUCAUAUAUAGGGAAAAAAUCAUGUGCUCACAGGCUGUGAUGUAUUUUUAAUUGUUUUCUUUCUUUCUUUUGAUUCUGUAAUAAUCUUGUAAAAAAAAGAACUCGGGGAGUAUUAGUAAAGGGUAUGAGAGGAGUUUACUUAUUGCACAAAAGGGUAGAUACCAUUUCUAUAGGUUUAAUGUUUUAAUAACCUAGAUACCUUGCCUACAGGUUUUCAACAUUUUUAACUCGAUCUUCUAGAAACCAUGCCUAUAAGAUUUAAUAUUCAGUCAUAUUGCAAAUCAUUAGAAAUCCUGCCUAUUGGACUUACUAUCCAUGUAACAAGUUGCGUAUAGAAAUCAUGUCUAUAGAAAAUGCAUAAACGUUAGGAAAAUGGUAGGGUAAUCGAAUACUCAUUCCUUUACUAGUUCAAUAACAGUAACAAGUCUUAAAAAAUCAAGAUAUAGAUAUCAUGCCUAUAGGAGUUCAAACUCGCCUAGUCUGUGCAAGUAAUAAUCUGGCCGUUGGCCUCAACGUUAUCAAUAAAACUCAUCCAAACGCGUUUGUUUGAAAACUCUUAUAAAUCCGUAGUGUUCUUAAAUUUUCCAAACUUGCAUCUUUAUUUUGAAACUGUGAUGACCUGGCCCGUCGUCACGUGAGUUACCGCCCCGUUUUCCCCGUUUUAUGCUUUUAUAUAUUUCAUUAUAUGUGUUUGUAGAGUUUGAAGUGAUUCGGACAGAGUUUAGUUGGAAUUAAGACAAUUAGUCUUUUUAAGGGAAGGCUAGUUUGGAAAAGUCAACCGGAUGUUGACUUAUGAGUUAUAUGGCUCGGAAUGGAUUUCCGACAAUUCGUCUAGUUUCAGGUGACGAUUUAUGACUUGGGAGUGAAAACAGAACUCAAUUUGGUCCGGUGUAGAAUUAGGCUUGAAUUGGCUAGAAUUUUGGCGAACUCUGGUUGAUAGGUGAGAUUUUGAUCCGGGGGUCAGAAUGGAAUUCCGAGAGUUGCCGUAGCUUAGCUUCGUUAGGUGAUUUUGGAUAUGUCUACAAAUUUUCAGGACAUUCAGACGUCGUUUGGUCGGGUUUUUGAUCGAAUAUUAGUUUCAGAAGUUAUAGUUGAAACUUAGGCUUGAAUCCAUUAUGAUUUGAUGAUUUUUGUGUUUAGGGGACAUGUUUUUAUGAUUGGAACAAGUUCGUAUGAUGUUUUGGAGCAGGUUGGUAUUUUUGGUUGGGGUCCCGGGGGCCUCGGGGUAAUUUUGGGGGUUCAAACGGAUCAUUUUUGGAUGGCUAGGAGAUCAUAUUUGCUGCCAUAAAUGUUGCAGAUUUUUGUUCAAUGCGACCGCAGGAGUACUGUUGUGAUCGCAUAGAAAGUUUGGGGAGGUUUUGAAAAUUUUCAUUGCGAUCGCGGUCAGGGGUAUGCGAUCGCACAGGUGGUGGAAGUUGUUUUCUACGAUCGGAGGAAAUCAUAUGCGAUCGCGUAGUGUAAUGGACCUAGGUUCCUGGGGGGGGGGCAUUUGGGCAGUGCGAUCGCAGGGUCAAUUAUGCGAUCGCGUAGUGUUGGAUUCUGAAGCAAUGUGAUCCCGUAGUAGGGGUUGCGAUCGCAUAUGCCAUUUUUUUAGGCCUGGAAAAGUUGUUCAAUGUGAUCGCAUAGAGGAAAUGUCUGGGCGGACAGAAGGAUUUUAUAACAUAACAUCCGCGAGCAAAUAUCAUUUUCCACCAUUUUUGGGCAUAUUUUGGAGCUAUUGGAUGGGGAAGUAAGAGGAGUUCAGCUAGGUUUCAACUUGAGGUAAGUUUUAUGAGCUAAUUACAUGAUUUUAUUGAAGAAUCAUCAUCUAAAUCUCUGAAAAUUGGGUGGAAUUGGUGAAUUUAGGGCUUGAUUUUGGUAUUGAAAAUUUAGAAUUUGAAGGGGCUAUUGGACUCUGAUUUUGAUAAACUUCAUAUAUAUAGACUCGUGGUGAGAUGAGGAUACAAAAAUGUUAACUUCGUAAUUUUUUGAGAAGUGGGCCCGGGGCUCAUGUUUUGCCAACUUGGAAAUUGGAGAAUUUAGGGCUUGGUUUUUUGUAUUGAAAAUUUGGAAUUUUGAAGGGGCUAUUGGACUCCGAUUUUGGUAAACUUCAUAUGUAUUGACUCGUAGUGAGAGGAGAAUUCCGAAAAUGUGAAUUUUGUAAUUUUUCGAGAAGUGGUCCCGGGGCUCGGGUUUUGCCAACUUCGUGUUUUUGGGUAUUUUUCGAGUUCUUUCUAUUGGGUNNNNNNNNNNNNNNNNNNNNNNNNNNNNNNNNNNNNNNNNNNNNNNNNNNNNNNNNNNNNNNNNNNNNNNNNNNNNNNNNNNNNNNNNNNNNNNNNNNNNNNNNNNNNNNNNNNNNNNNNNNNNNUGCGAGGAAAGCGCAAGGCGAGCUAGGAUUUUGGUCGGUUUGAGGUGAGUAAUGGUUAUGAAUGAUAUACUGAGGGUUUGAAACCCCGUAUUUACACUAUACGGUGCUAUGUUGAGAUGUGACACGCGUCUUCUGAUGAGCGUGGUGAUGUAUCUGCUGGGGACUCGGACUUGGUCCAUCCCGAUUGAUGACUUACUGUACUUCUUGACUGAGAGUGAGCUUGUACUCGUAUAAUUUGGGCUAGUUACCAUGUUUGGGCCUUGUGCCGAUCUGUAGAACUCCUAGGGAGCAUGUUGAGUUGAUUGACCUCACUUUUCCAAUUGGACACAUACCAUCUGUCCCGACUUUUGACUGCAAAUCAUGAAAUAAACCGGACUUUACAGCUUGCACCCUAAAUAAGCAAUAUCUAGGGUUGAAUACCCUGUCUUAGCUGAGUGGGCCCGAGAGGCUAAGUCUAUAUUGGCUGAGAUGGGUCAAGGACCCCGUGGUGAGGCUAUUUGAUAUAUAUAUACACACAUCGGGUGGGGCUGCACGCGACAACAAUAUAUACAUAUACAUGUAUUGGAUCGGACUGCACGCCGCAUUGGUAUAUUAUAUGGAUCGGACUGCACGCCGUAGUGAUAUAUUAUAUGGAUCAGAUUGCACGGCGCAAUGAUAUAUGGAUCAGACUGCACGCCACAGUUUUAUAGCACUUGGACUGAAGGAUCCCCUACGGAGUCUGUACACACCCCCAUUGAGCGCAGUCGACUAUAUUUAUUGGAUCGGGCUGCGCGCUGCAGCAUUUUAUAUAUUAUAUUGGAUCGGAUUGAAAGCCACAACUAUAUAUAUAUAUAUAUAUACAUAUAUAUAUUAUGUUUGUAGCUGGUUGGACGGAAAGGAAAGUAAUUAUCAGAUUCUUUUCCCUGUUUGGUACUUAUCUACUGUCUUUACUACUGAAAAUAGGAUUGUAUAGUAUUUUUACCGGAUUUCUUACAUUCAAUUGUUAUUUAUUGCUAUUACUCACUGAGUUGGAAGUACUCACUCUACUCCCUGUACCUUGUGUGCAGAUACAGGGAUCCCAGAGGCAUAGUUGUGGCUGUCGGUUGUUCCUCAGCUCAGUAUCGAAGUUAUCAAAGUAGUUGCUGGCGUCUGCAGGACCUGAUCUCUCCUCUUAUGUAUCUUGUUUCCGUAGCUAGACUUUCUUUGUUUGGAGUACUAUUCAGCUGUAUUAGAGGCUCAGACUUGUGACACCUGUUCCUUUUGGGAUGUUGUUAUUUUCACUUUACGGAUUCCGCAAUAUUUUAUCAAUAUUAAAUCAAGAAUUUAUACUUGAGUAUUUAAAUAAAUGAUUUGGUUGGAAAAGGUUUUAAUGGUCGGGCUUGCCUAACAAGGUGUAGGGCGCCAUCACGACCGGGGUUUGGGUCGUGACAGAAACCGAUGCUUUAACCUUCUGCCUAAAUUUAUAUUCAUAUCUUGAAGCUAUCUUUCAAAACAUGGUUUUAACUCACUCUUUCUUUUAAAGCACUCUCACUUUCGAAAACUCUUCUUUACAAUUCUACUAUAUUUUCACUUAAACAAUUUUGCUAAUUACAAAGACCUCUAUGAACUUCUGCAAUUCUCAAUCUUCUAUUUUAAACUCUUAUGCAUUGAGCUUUUGUCUGAAAUUAGUGCUUUCUGAAUAACCUGUCUAAAAUACCCCAACGUCUGACAAUUGGAUCCGGGUUGCGUAAUGCAGACUUUUUAUCUAACUCUAUGUGUUAAACUAGUCCGUCCGCCGUUAAAUUUAAUUUAAAAACCAAAUCGGUAUGUGCAAGGCAUGCUAAGCUAUGUGUUGUCUGAUUUAAGGGGUUUUAUGUGAGCCUUACGUGUUUUCUUGUUAACCCACUUUACUUGCUAUUUUUUUUGUUUGUCGAAAUUAGCGUUACCCCUUUUCUUUCCCUUUAGGAUUAGAAUUCCUAAUACCCCGGGACUGAUAGGUUGGGACGGGUAAUAGCAUGCAAUAAGUAACAAGACUAAUCACGUUUAAAUACCUUAACAUAGUGGGGAGGGUAGAAUAUGGAGAUGAUGAUCGGUGCGUUAAUAUCACGUGAAACCCCUCUCUCGAGGAGUGUGUGCCGGGUAUUGCAUUGAUGUGAUCCAUAUCGUUUUUAAACCUAGGAUCUCUAUUUUCUUUUUGUAAUGUUUUCCUUAAGUGUUUUCACUUCUUCGCAUCAACUCCUUCUCUAAAGACUGUAUAUUAUUCCUUUUCUUUUCAAAGUUUCAAAUGUAUGUGUAAACCUUACUUUCUUCUACUCCUUUAAAGUCACAAUUAAGCAUGGCCGAGAACCACACUAGUGGAUCUUGAUGGUUGCCUAACACCUUCCCCUCGAGAUAUUCUCAAGCCCUUACCCGAACUUUGGUUUUCUUUCAAAUCUUCUUCUUUUCUUUAAAGUAUCCUAAUGCACUAUAAUCAUUAGGUGGAGACUCUUCAAUUCCAUAACCCGAUUCCUCAAAAAGGAAUAAAAGUUGUUUUGUCCGUAAUACCGUAAACCCGAUUCUCUUUCUUUAGAGAGGAAAAGGGGGCGUCGACAACAUGACGACUCUGCUGGGAAGUUCUUUAAGGCUUUUAUCAUUACAUGCUUUUGUGACUUUAUUGCUUUCUUCAUAGCCUUUAUUUCCUUCCUUUAAUUAUUUCAUUAUGAUUACUAACUUGGCUCUUCAUAUUUCCUUUUUCUUUUAAUUUCUUUCUUUACUGCCUUAUUAUUAUACCGUUGUGAUUUUCGAGCAUUUAUUGUAAUAUUUUACUUCAUGGACAUGAAAAUACAUGCUAUCUGCUUCAUUCUUGUAACUACAUUCUUCAACAUCAUAUUCCGCUCGUGCCAACAUAAAUCCUAUAGCAACACUUAUAAUGAGUGGUUGCGCCCUUUUGAUAUUAUAACCCCCUAAAUGUGGCAAAGACAUAUUUGUGGUAAAACCAGUCAAUCAAAAGUGUAGCCGAAUGUUUCGCGCGUUUCCCUCUUGAGUUGUCUGGUCAAGGGUACCUUUUCUAGAACUUCAAAAGUAGAAACAUUAUUCCGUUAAACUGUUUAUGCAUCAUGGUCAAACUUAGCCAAGUCAAUUAUGCUGUCCGCAUAAUGACUUAUUAAGGUAGCCUUAUCCAAAGUCCAUCGGGUUUCCUUGAAACCCAAACGCACACCUUCUGUGUGCAUUUAUUUGGAGAAUUAAAUGCCUUUAUUGCUAAUUAUUGAUUUAAAUAGUCGAGUCCGGUGGGGUUAAGGGCAUAACACUUUGUUUUGCAGAAAAAGAGGCACGAAAUCCCCAGAUUCGGUAUAGUAACCAACAUUCACCCAAGGCUGCUAGCUGGUGGAAGGACCUUCAUACCAGUGAUGGGACCCUCGUCUGCAAAUACUUAGGAAAUCUUCCUUCACUCAUGGAAGUCCGGCCUAAAAACAAAAUUAUUGAAGCUGCUACUUUAUUCUGGGAUAGUGAUCGGUUGGUUUUUUGCUUCGGGGACCUCAAAAUGACCCCUCUACUUGAAGAAAUAGGGUAGGGGUUUCCUCAAAAUGAUGAGACUCAAGAAGAAUCCGGAUCUGACUUGUCUAAAGGAUUCCUACAUACCGUUUGAUUUCCUAUAUGAUAGGUUUGGCCAUAGCAAGUCCUAUCGCACCUAUACUGAUUAGUUCGGCCUCAUAUCUUUAGGGCAUAUACAUAGAAGGGUCUUUUUGUUCAUGUUCUCUUUCCUGGGUAUGAUGGUCUUUCCUAUGCAGAAGGCUAGGAUCCAUACCAGACUGGCUAUGGUGACCAAGACCUUAAUGGAAGGGAUCGACGUGCAGUCUUUCAGCAUAGUGCCCAUGAUCAUCACUUAAAUUUAUCGAGCCUUGGGAAAAUGUCAACAAGGGGCCCCGCACUUCGAGGGAUGCAACUUGCUACUCCAGCUUUGGCUUAUAGAACACCUUCAGAAAGGCGACUACCGACAGAAAAUCAUACACAGGGAUUGGGAUGACCAUAUCGCUUUUCACCACCCAAAGCGAAUGAACUUCAUGCCUAAUAUGUUUGCUCAGCCAGAGGACGCUAGAGGGUGGGUAGAACUGUUCGAGAAUCUAAAGGAAGAACAUGUAUAGUGGAUGUAUGAGUGGUUCCCAACCAGGGAAUUCAUUGAUCGGUCUCGGGAUGAACCGUUCCUUAUACUCAUUGGCAUAAGAGGAACUUACCUUUAUGUCCUCUUAUGUCCCUCUCCGGGCUAUGAGGCAAGAAGGGAGGAAACAAAUCAUACCAAGGGCACACAAAAUGAGUCAUUUUAGGGCUGACUUUCAAGACGAUGAUAGCCCACACAUGUGUCACGCUCAACAUAUAUGGCAUUGCAAACUCGUCUUGGGAAGAUAGUCUAUCAAAGCAGACAUGUAUCAUGUAGGGUGUGUGCCGUAUUAUUCAGGUUGGUUAGAAGAUGAUCACAUUGGUUUGGGUCAAUCCAGGGCUCGUCCAAGGUCAUAGGCUUAUUAAUGAGAAAACUAAAGCAAAAGUUAAAUACAAUCGCAAGAGGAUGCGAGAGUGUGAAAAUGAGCACCGGGAGAUACAAGAAGCUCAUCAUAAGCUGAUCAACAAGUUGAAGAAUAUGGCUAUCAAUGCCAACAAUCGGCUAGGGUAUCUGGAAUGAGGUUUAGUGGAGUUGGAAGGAAAAUUAUUGAAGAGGAUUGAAGACUGCUAGAAUACCGAGGGAAGUGCAGGCGGGCAUCUGGCCCAAGCCUAUCUGCUACUAGGACUUCGUGAGUUGAUACAGCUGUACGAAUGAGGCAAGAAUACCGAAUCUGGAGAAGGUCCUUCUGGGACCAAGUAGUUAGGAUUUUUUAUUUCCUGCUUUCAUAAUGUAAUAAGCCCACUAGCCAUUAGUGACAUCUUUAUUUCUGUUAUUUCAAAUUGCAUUUUUUAGACUCGUCUUAUUUUUAUCAAUAAAAUGAGGCAUUUAGCAUUAUAAGUUCUCCAAAUUUAAUUUGUUGCUAGGCCUACCUCGGGCACAACGAGGCACCCAAUUAGGAAGCGACUUAUAUUCCUGCACAACGUGUUUAAAUAUCGCAAUAUUCUUUUUUUUAGAAUCCGCACUAACUUUUUACCUUUUUGUUUUUCUUUAUUCCCUUUCCCAAAAGUUAGUUCGUGCAUUGUGGUACCAUUAGCAUACUCAACAAGAUCCAAGGGCCCUCCACCACCUCCUCAUCCGAGUCAUACCAGAAACAGGAACAAAGGCAAAAUGGGAGAUGCAAAUGCUAGAAAGGAAAUUGAAGAAACUUCUCAAAACACUCCAAUUACCAAGAAAACUGAUGCUCAUCUAGAGUAGACUUUGCUGAGAUUUCGGGAAGAAUUAGAAGAGGUCCGGAACCUAGCAAGCCUAUCAAUCACUCUUGCCACUACUGAUGCCAACACCCAGAACCCCGUACCUCCACAGCCACCAAUACAAACUGCUAAUACUUAAGCCUGCAACACAUGCAACAACACUCCACUGCUCAUUCCGGAACCACAACAAACCACAAAUGACCAUAACACUCCUAUCCUUGUGAACACUAUACCCCACUAUAUCCAGCCAAUAGCAGGUGCAUCAGACUCAGAUGACAAGGACUCCCUCAUUCAAAAUUUGGCCGCUGAACUCAAGAAGUUAACCAGCUGGGUCCAAGGUUUCGAAGGUAGCAAAGGAGUUGAGAGUCUGAACUAUGAAGAUCUUUGUGUUCAGCCAGAUGUUGAACUCCCAGAGGGUUAAAAACCUCACAAGUUCGAGAUGUUCCAUGGUCCAGUUGAUCCAGGGUCCAUCUGAGAAUGUAUUGUGAUAAGCUGGUAGGAGUUGGGAGGGACAAGAAUAUACGCAUGAAGUUUUUCAUGAGGAGUCUAAAAGGCGAUGCCUUAUCUUGGUAUAUCAGCCAAGAUGCAAAGAAAUGGACAAAUUGGGUGAGCAUAGCAUCUGACUUCAUGGACCGUUUCAGGUUCAACACUGAGAAUGCACCGGAUGUGUUCUAUAUCCAGAAUCUAAAUAAGAAACUCAUAGAAACCUUUUGCGAGUAUGCUAUUCGUUGGAGGUCAGAAGUUGCUAAGGUCAGGCCGGCCUUAGAGGAAGAGCAAAUGAAUAGGUUCUUUGUCCGAGCUCAGGACCUCAAUACUACGAGAGGCUAAUGCUGAUAGAAGGUCAGAGGUUUUCCAACAUAAUCAAGUUGGGAGAAAGGAUCGAAGAAGAUAUCAAGAAUGGUAUGGUCACCAAUUUCGAAGCAUUACAGAUGUCACACCCCUUUUUUAAACCAAACUCUCACUUAACCCUCUUACAUAAAUAAAAGGAUUUAGUAAAAAGCUUGAAAAGGAUUUUCCAUUUAGAACAUGACAAAAAUUAUAUUCAAAAGAAAAAUAACUCAGAGUCGCCACUGACAUUUGAUUUCGGUGUGUGAGUCACCGUUGUUUUUAUAAAAUAAAAGAUUUUCCAUUUAAAACACUUGAGACUCCAAAUAUCAAUUCUGCACCAGAGAUUAGGGUAAGGGGUUCAGUUGACUCAAGGAGAAGGUGUUAGGCAUUCCCAAGUUCCGUGAAGAUCACAGUUGCGUACUCGAUCUAGUUGGCUUUUAGAAUAUUCAAAUUGAGAUAAAUAUAAACACGAAAAAGCAAAUAAACACACAUGAGGCUCGAGGUUGUCUCCACCUAAUAAAAUAAAAGAAAAGUAAAAAUAAAAAUACUACUCUAUGCUUCUUCAAAGUGUUCCAUCGCUGGCUUUCAAGUACAUGUAUUACGGGGCAUACCCUGGAUAAAAUAUAUACAAAUCCUUGGGGUAUUCCCCGGAUAAAUUCAACUAAGGAAACGACCUCUUGCCUCGAAAUUAAAAAAAAAUCCUAAAACCCCGUGAGUCCCGUCCUACCCUGCCUUGAACUAGAACUCGGAAACUAGGACAGAUAACUAUAAGAGAGUAGCUGCCAAAACAAGCUCCCUAAGGUCGCACCUAAGAUCCGAAGGAAUCGCUUGAGAACUAACUGCAUACCUGAAGUUAGCUUGUAUUUGCCUACUCAAGUGUGGUCGGUCUAAGCAUAUUACUAACGAUCCAAUUGAUUAAAACAACAAUGGAAAAGAAAGGUAUAGCCUAAAUCAAUCUAAAACUCCAACCCUUAUUUUAGAUCCAAUAUUAUAGCCAACGGGAGAACCUAGACCUCAAUUAAUUCUCGUUAGACUUUUAGUUGCUUAAAUCAAUUAAAAACCAACCCGUAUAUCUAGCGACCUAGCACCAUAUUAAUUUUUACAUAGGCUGUAAGGAUUCAUCAUUAAUUAAAAGCCUUUAAAGUAAUUCAAACAACAAAUAAUCUUAUCUUCUACUGAUAUCACGAAGUGUAUUAUGCUAAGCAAAUAAAUUCAAAUAUAUUCAUCACAUUAAAUAGCCAACAACGUGACUACAGUGAAAGACAAGCAGAUAGUGUUAUUAAAUUAAAUCAAAGGAGAAGAGAGAAUGGACCUCAAGGUAAAGCCGAAAUUCUUCUGAAAAUUAGAUCCAAAUCGAAUUGUAUAGUAGACUCAAACAGUUUUUCGGAAGCGAAACAUGAAACCGACGACUAGACUUGAACCAGAAAAUUGAUAGAGACCUCGGAGAAGUGCUCUCAUCGGAGCUUUGACGGGAACCUUAAACAGACCUCGAACCUUGCCGGCGAACUCGAACUCUAUUUGAACCAGAUAACACUAAAAUUGAACUGAGUAGUGGUGAUUAGCGAGUCAAUUUUACGGAAAAGAACAUCAAAGGAAAAAAUAAUUUAUUUUAACAGUAUAUAUUUUUUUUUUGGUGCUGGAAUCCUAGUGUGGAAGAUGAUAUGCGGCGCUCGGUUUUCUCCUCUGUUUCUAUUCUCAAAAAUCUCCAAAGUUUCGAUCCUUGCCUUCAAUUGUAUCAAAAUUCUUGGAGGAUAAGAAAUCAGAAAUCUUGUGGACCCUACGUGUAGUGUGCCGGUGGUGAGAUAAUGAUUGGGAUGGCCAAAUAUUAGAGUGAAUUUUCAAGAAUGAGUACUGUGUAUGCUUUUUCUUAAAAAGAAAAU
rnacentral:lncRNA from 1 species